CGUAAAUAAUGGCGUGUCAACUGUUCGUACAGAGCAAUGCGACAUUCUUCCUUAGACAUUACGUCAUUUUAAACGUGGCGUGGUAAAUAAAGAAACGAGUACAUAAUAUCUGGACGUAAUAAAUACAUGGACGACUCCCAUCACGAGAUGGUCGUUUAAAGACCACACCCAAGAUCCCAGCUGCUUCAAGUUUAAAAAGACAAAAAUGUCAUUCAGAGGAGGAGCUGACACCCACCCAUCUCAACAGUCCCCUUGAAUACCUCGACUCACAGUGGCAGAACCCCCGCCCCUUGCCAAAGACAAUGCAACUUUUCUAUUCCUUCUUCAAUUUUGCUGAUCAUUAUACAUCGGCUUGACAAACCAUCUCACAAAGGAUACCACACACUUACAAACUUACAAAAGGAAGAAUGAACACACUUGCUUUUCAAGGACAAGGGCAAUUCAAGAGUCGAUUUAUUUUUUGUAGUUAAUCCGACACCACCUUCGUUCUGGUUACACCAACUGCAGUAUAAAUAUGGACCAGUGGUUAAGUAUGGGCACAGUACAAGCAAUCCUGCAAGAUACUCAAGUCUUCCAAGUCAAGCAAUCAACACUCCACUCAACAUGAACAAGCUGCUCGUGUUCUUCUUCGUGGCCGCCAUCGUGCUGGUUGCCACCGUGUCCGCCGGACCCAUGCCAGGACCUUUCCCCCUCCCCGCUAAGGACCUGAAGGGCUCAGAGGCUGUGUACUACUCUGCAUAUUCUGGCUAUCCCUACGCAGCCGCAGUACCAGGUUAUGGUUACGCGUACUAUGGCUAAAACACCAAGCAGACAUGACGGACCGUGGCGUCGGACAAUGAACCUCCCAACAGAAAGGCGAUAUGGAUUUGACAACUGUACUUAACUCUGUUUCUCUAAUUGCGUGUGAAUGAUGUUUCCUUUACUGUAUUAUGUGCCAUUUCAUCUGUAUUAAAUCUUUUAUAUUACCCAGAAAAGUUCUUACUGAAGUCAUAUUUUCUACGUGAAUAAAGUAAAGAUGGUCGAAGUUGCGUUCAAUUUUUUUUUUUAAAAUUUAAAACUACAAGACACAAUACCUUAAAACAUUAUAUUUUGUCUUCAGUGAGAAGUUGUACAAGUAAAUAAAAUACAUAUUCUAUCCCCAG